rnacentral:rRNA from 1 species
GAUGAACGCUGGCGGCGUGCCUAAUACAUGCAAGUCGAGCGAACAGACGAGGAGCUUGCUCCUCUGACGUUAGCGGCGGACGGGUGAGUAACACGUGGAUAACCUACCUAUAAGACUGGGAUAACUUCGGGAAACCGGAGCUAAUACCGGAUAAUAUAUUGAACCGCAUGGUUCAAUAGUGAAAGACGGUUUUGCUGUCACUUAUAGAUGGAUCCGCGCCGCAUUAGCUAGUUGGUAAGGUAACGGCUUACCAAGGCGACGAUGCGUAGCCGACCUGAGAGGGUGAUCGGCGACACUGGAACUGAGACACGGUCCAGACGCCUACGGGAGGCAGCAGUAGGGAAUCUUCCGCAAUGGGCGAAAGCCUGACGGAGCAACGCCGCGUGAGUGAUGAAGGUCUUCGGAUCGUAAAACUCUGUUAUUAGGGAAGAACAAAUGUGUAAGUAACUAUGCACGUCUUGACGGUACCUAAUCAGAAAGCCACGGCUAACUACGUG